GGAUCUUAUGACCUACAGUCAAAAAUGUUAGCCCAGAAAAAACUCCUUUAACAAACCGUGACUCACAGAUUCCAGUGGGACCAGAAAUUCUCUAUGUGAAGGAGAGGAAAAUAGUGGGAAGAGAACCCGCAUCAUAAACUUUUAUUAUGCACAUUAUUAUGCCUCAUUAAUUAACCCAACCACUGUCCUAGUGACGUCUUGGGCUCACUUCACAGGAAAAAAUUAGUCUGGAUUGCCAAGUUAAAUAGACAAUUACAGGAAGAUCAAAUUAUGCCUACAUUGCAUUCUGUCAGGGCAUCAAGCCAAAUUCAUGUCAAACUCAUAAGACUGGAAUAUCCUUAAAAAAACAGCCCUGAAGAACCAAUGUCACAAGCCAUUUGACGUCCACACGGAGGAUGUAUUGAUCUUGCCUGAGCUUCCUUUCUCAGAAUCGCAUAACAGACCAAGAAAGAGGGCUUUCUGAGCAUCUUACUCUCUUCCACACAGCAGCUGGCUAGAUCCUUUGUUAUGUACAAUAAAGCACAAUGAAACAGGGAAAAACAUCCCACCUCAUGAGCUCCAUCCCUCAUCCUGGCUGGCAGCUGUCACAGAUCUGAAGAAACAGCUUAGACAUUUAAAGAGAACAAUGAAAAUCCCCAGUGUAGGUUUUCCACAGUGGAACCCUUGGUUCUGUCCAUGAUCUUGAGGAACACUUUUCCAAAAAAUCUGAGCUGAGGCCAAAAUGAAUAAAGCUCACCCCAGAUUUUCAGAACCCACAGUGGAAUGCCUGAUGUCCCCAGCACCAGAGACAACACGAUACUGGAGAGAAUAAGAACAAUUGCCACAAUGCUUUCAGGUAAGGUGAUGUUUGCUGGUGGUUCAGGACUCAAAAAGAGAAUUGAAUGUGUCUUGUAUCUACUGAGGAAUGAAAGUUUAAGAAUUUAAGUGUGGAAGACUGGAUGCAACUUGGAAAGAAAGCUUCUUCCUGAUUCCCAUUCUGGGACAUUCCUCCUUUAUAAUCAGAAGUGUCUACCUGAAGCCUUUUUCCAUGUUACUUCCAUUUUAUGAAGAACCCCCGCUCCCUCAAGUGGUAGAAUCUAUUUGCUCCCCUCUUGUGGUUUUCUAUGAAACAAGAAUUAUGUUUUAAGAAUCCUGAGCUCAAACCUAAAGAAGACUAGCAGGUUACAUGUUAUAUCUCUGAAAAAUCAGCUGACAUAUAAGUUCCGCUCCCUUGGAAUCACCAUAUUGUGAGGAAGCACAAGCUAGCUGAAGGAAGCACCACAUGGAGGAGAACCAAAGAAGUCAGAGAAUAAUGAGAACUUACCCAUAUGGCUUCUGUUAAAUUGUCCCAGCCAGCUGUUACUGGUCAGCCAUCCUAGCUCAUGCCUGGAAAUUGCGGAGUAGAGAUGAGCUAUCCCCACUGUGCUCUGUCUGAAUUGUAAGCAAAUAAAU
rnacentral:lncRNA from 1 species